GACGAACGCUGGCGGCGUGCUUAACACAUGCAAGUCGAACGGAAAGGCCCCUUUGGGGGUACUCGAGUGGCGCACGGGUGAGUAACACGUGAGUAACCUGCCCUUGACUUCGGGAUAACUUCAGGAAACUGGGGCUAAUACCGGAUAGGAAUCCUUGCUGCAUGGUGGGGGUUGGAAAGCUUCGGCGGUUUUGGAUGGACUCGCGGCUUAUCAGCUUGUUGGUGGGGUAGUGGCUUACCAAGGCUUUGACGGGUAGCCGGCCUGAGAGGGCGACCGGCCACAUUGGGACUGAGAUACGGCCCAGACUCCUACGGGAGGCAGCAGUGGGGAAUAUUGCACAAUGGGCGGAAGCCUGAUGCAGCAACGCCGCGGGCGGGAUGACGGCCUUCGGGUUGUAAACCGCUUUCAGCAGGGGCGAAGCUUGUGGUGACGGUACCUGCAGAAGAAGCACCGGCUAACUACGUG
rnacentral:rRNA from 1 species